AACUUUUAGCAACGGAUCUCUUGGCUCUCGCAACGAUGAAGAACGCAGCGAAUUGCGAAACGUAAUGUGAAUUGCAUGUACCGUGAAUCAUUAAAUCUUUGAACGCACCUUGCGCCAUUUUGAAUUCAAGAUGGCACAUCUGUUUGAGUAUCAGCAAAAUCUCUCCUCUCUCCGAGUUGUAAGACUUGGAAAGAAGUGGAAUUGAGUUUGAAUCGAUUGAUUCUACUUUAAAUGUUCAACUCAGCUCCAGUAAGUUGUCAGAGUUACUAUAAUUCUGUUCGGCCAUGCUGCGAUGUGCGUUGAGGGAACAGCAACUGACAAUGUCGGAAGCUUUGAACUUGAUCUCAAAUCAGAUGAGAAUACCCGCUGAACUUAAGCAUAUCAAUAAGCGGAGGCU
rnacentral:misc_RNA from 1 species